UACGUAGGGGGCAAGCGUUGUCCGGAAUCAUUGGGCGUAAAGCGCGUGUAGGCGGCUCGGUAAGUCUGCUCUGAAAGCCCGGGGCUCAACCCUGGGAGGCGGGUGGAUACUGCUGAGCUCGAGUCCGGAAGAGGCGAGUGGAAUUCCUGGUGUAGCGGUGAAAUGCGUAGAUAUCAGGAGGAACACCAAUGGCGAAGGCAGCUCGCUGGGACGGUACUGACGCUGAGACGCGAAAGCGUGGGGAGCAAACAGG
rnacentral:rRNA from 1 species